CAUAACUAUGCGCAAUACGUGGUAAUGCGUCGAUAAACGCCUGAGCCGACACGAGCUGGAAACGCACAAGACGUUUCUCCUCUCCUGACAUCAACAGCGAGCUGUGUAGCUCGACAGGCACCCUACCGGACAACCUGCAGCACUGGGACCCCUGGCCUGCGCAGCUCGGAAACCUGCGCUGCAGCGUCAGACUGCCAACCAGAGCACACUCCCCGACCGCAAGUUUCAACACAGUCAGCUACAGAGAGGCCACGGAGGACGGGAACAUAGUUUCUCUGAAUAGGUGGAAGGAGACAAGGACGCAAAUUCUGAUCCUCGCAUCCAUCAGCAAGGGGAACGAGUGUCACCAGAGCUGCAAGGAUGGCUACUCUUCUGUUGGUGGACCUUGAAUGUGUUUACUGUGCAAAAAAAUAUUUUCUGCCUUUUAGAAAGCAUUUGUUCCAACAUAGUUAUUUUUGCUUUUGUGAGAUCUUACUAGUUUUUGGGGCUUUUCAAAAAUGAGACCCAAAAGAAUAAAAAAGACUAUCAAUAAUAAAAUACACUUAUUUUUCCAGCUCAGUGACAAUCGCUAUAAAAUAUCACUAUAACACAUGGAAUAUAAUAGGAGUGCGUGCACAUCCAUGUCACCGUUGUCUUUAUGACAAUCAUACUUCUACAUCUCUGAGGUGAGUGCCGUUAAAAACUUGAUAAAUAUGUCCCAGCUGGUAGCUCAGUUUUUGUGCGAAAUGCUAAAACUGUGUCGAUUUUACAGACAUGGAUUCAACAGCUCUCAGUUAACCUAUUCAUGUAUUGUACCACAUGACAUACAGUCGAAUUAACCAGAAAUCAGACGUAUUGAUGAACAAGAAGCUUGUAAAUUACCACCAGUACAGUUCAUUAUGAAGCUGAUCACCUUCAGGUAUUUAUGAUGCACUUCCUGGCUCUCAUACAAAAAGGCCUGUUUUCUGGUCCCCUCACCACAUUCACAGCAGUGCAACCAGACUUCCGCCUUAUAUUGAAACGUGUUAGUAACAUAAAAGUUUAUAGUUUGAGAUAUAAGAAGAUAUGGGUCAGGAGAAACAGAUUAAAGGUUCACCCAAACCACUUUCUCUGCCUAUCUGAUCUUUUGGCCACAAUGUCCUACAAGCUUGAUUCAAAGGAAUGAAUUUGAAUCUUCUGCUGAAUUUAAGUUCAGCAGAAGGCUGACUCACCAAUUGCACAAAGGUGCACAAAAGUGUGCUGAAACAAAAAACGUCUAAAACGUGCAGGGCAAAAACACUAAAAGGAGCCAAAUAAGAUAAAUAAAGAAAAACAUUUAGCUCUGAGACACCCUUCACAACAAACACGGGAGCUUUUAACUAAUAGAGCAUUUGAAAAAAAUAAAAUAAAAUGAUGCUGUUGGUAUUGGUGUCCUUCAGUGUUCACAGUGAUAGCAACAGCUUAUAAUGUGUCUAUUAAAAAAUACACUGAACCAUUAAAGAAAUAAUGAUGACAAAAAAAACAUCAGACUCAAAAUAAUUUGCAUUUGAGUUUUUUGACAGUCUUUUAGUUAUUCAUAGGAAUUAAGUUACACUACUGGCUAAAUAUGAUUUUACAGUAGCUUAAUAAAUAUGCCCAUUAUUAUUAUAUAUUAAAUUAUACAAAAGAUUAAAACAUGUUGGUUUUUAUUUCCUACAAGAGGAAGCACUUGUCUUGUCUCCUACUCCAAGGCUUCUAUUGAAAAUAUACUGUAAGAGCUUAUAAUCUUUGACACCACCAUCAGGCUCGUAAUACAAAAUAAUGAACCAGAAAACUGAAAUUAAUUUAUGGGCUUUAGUUUGGAUUUAGUUUUUCACCAUAUAUUAUGUGUGUGCAUUCUUGUGAUUGUGUGUUUCUGUUUAUAACCUUUGUCCAAAUCUCUACAUAACUAUAAAUCCCUUCUUAAACACAAAAGUCUUUUUUUUUCAUCUUGUCUUCUUCUUUGAAUAAGACAAAGAAUCCUAAUCCUUCUCUGAAUUUCUUCACAAAUGUAAACCCUCACGUGUUUACUGUGUUCCAUUGUCUUCACAGUUCUCCUUAUUCCACAAUUAUCUCUAAAAAUAUGACAUACAUGGGACAGAUUUGUAAAUUGCUUGUCUUGUAAUUGGUAAUUGAUCCAACUGUAUUCUAUUUUCAGGGUAAAAGAGUUAAAGGGGCAUCAUACAAACGUACAUAUGUACAGACUGUAUACACAUGACUGUAAAAGAGAUCACAUUACUGACUUAACAAUGUUUAAAACCAUUUGUUCUCUUUUCACUUUACAUUGUGCGCUGUGUUGUGUUUGAAAUUUAUAACAUUUCAAACAUUUUCAGUUGUAUUAUGAAUUUGCCAAGGAUCUGCAAAUGAAGUGUAAUAAAUGGAACAACCAUACGG